rnacentral:rRNA from 1 species
ACUUUGAAGAAAUUAGAGUGUUCCUGGCAGGCUUAGCUUGCAUAUAUUAGCAUGGAAUAAUGGAAUAGGACCUUGUCUGUUUUAUUGGUUGACAGAUAGGUAAUGAUUAACAGGGACAGGUCGGGGGCAUUCGUACUCAGUGGCUAGAGGUGAAAUUCUUAGAUUCGCUGAAGACGAACUAAUGCGAAAGCAUUUGCCAAGGAUGUUUUCAUUAAUCAAGAACGAAAGUUAGGGGAUCAAAGACGAUUAGAUACCGUCGUAGUCCUAGCCAUAAACUAUACCGACUAGGGAUUGGUGUGGGUCAUAAUCCAUAUCAGCACCUAAUGAGAAAUCAAAGUCUUUGGGUUCUGGGGGAGUAUGGUCGCAAGGCUGAAACUUAAAGGAAUUGACGGAAGGGCACCACCAGGAGUGGAGCCUGCGGCUUAAUUUGAUUCAACACGGG